rnacentral:rRNA from 1 species
CCUACGGGAGGCAGCAGUGAGGAAUAUUGGUCAAUGGGCGCGAGCCUGAACCAGCCAAGUAGCGUGAAGGAUGACUGCCCUACGGGUUGUAAACGUCUUUUAUAAAGGAAUAAAGUGAGGCACGUGUGCCUUUUUGUAUGUACUUUAUGAAUAAGGAUCGGCUAACUUCGUGCCAACAGCCGCGGUAAUAUGGAGGAUCCGAGCGUUACCCGGGCUUGUUUGGUUUAAAGGGAGCGUAGAUGGGUUGUUAAGUCAGUUGUGAAAGUUUGCAGUGCAACCGUAAAAUUGCAAUUGAUACUGGCUGCCUUGAGUACAGUUGAGGUAGGCGGAAUUCGUGGUGUAGCGGUGAAAUGCUUAGAUAUCACGAAGAACUCCGAUUGCGAAGGCAGCUUACUAAACUGCCACUGACAUUGAUGCUCGAAAGUGUGGGUAUCAAACAGGAUUAGAUACCCGUGUAGUC